UACGUAGGGUGCGAGCGUUGUCCGGAAUUAUUGGGCGUAAAGAGCUCGUAGGCGGUUUGUCACGUCUGCUGUGAAAUCCCGAGGCUCAACCUCGGGCCUGCAGUGGGUACGGGCAGACUGGAGUGCGGUAGGGGAGAAUGGAAUUCCUGGUGUAGCGGUGGAAUGCGCAGAUAUCAGGAGGAACACCGAUGGCGAAGGCAGUUCUCUGGGCCGUAACUGACGCUGAGGAGCGAAAGCUAGGGGAGCGAACAGG
rnacentral:rRNA from 1 species